rnacentral:rRNA from 1 species
AGCGGCGGACGGGUGAGUAAUGCUUAGGAAUCUGCCUAUUAGUGGGGGACAACAUUCCGAAAGGGAUGCUAAUACCGCAUACGUCCUACGGGAGAAAGCAGGGGCUCUUUAUGACCUUGCGCUAAUAGAUGAGCCUAAGUCGGAUUAGCUAGUUGGUGGGGUAAAGGCCUACCAAGGCGACGAUCUGUAGCGGGUCUGAGAGGAUGAUCCGCCACACUGGGACUGAGACACGGCCCAGACUCCUACGGGAGGCAGCAGUGGGGAAUAUUGGACAAUGGGGGGAACCCUGAUCCAGCCAUGCCGCGUGUGUGAAGAAGGCCUUUUGGUUGUAAAGCACUUUAAGUGGGGAGGAGGCUUACCUGGUUAAUACCUGGGCUAAGUGGACGUUACCCACAGAAUAAGCACCGGCUAACUCUGUGCCAGCAGCCGCGGUAAUACAGAGGGUGCGAGCGUUAAUCGGAUUUACUGGGCGUAAAGCGCGCGUAGGUGGCUAAUUAAGUCAAAUGUGAAAUCCCCGAGCUUAACUUGGGAAUUGCAUUCGAUACUGGUUAGCUAGAGUAUGGGAGAGGAUGGUAGAAUUCCAGGUGUAGCGGUGAAAUGCGUAGAGAUCUGGAGGAAUACCGAUGGCGAAGGCAGCCAUCUGGCCUAAUACUGACACUGAGGUGCGAAAGCAUGGGGAGCAAACAGGAUUAGAUACCCUGGUAGUCCAUGCC